rnacentral:rRNA from 1 species
CCAUGCUGAAUAUACCGGUUCUCGUUAGAUCACCGAAGUUAAGCAUCAUUGGGCGCGGUCGGUACUUGGGUGGGUGACCACCUGGGAACACCGCGUGCCGUU